CCAAGGUCGUUGACAGACGAUCGACAAUCGCGCACGAACGGGGGAAGCCGGUCGAAAUCCGGCGCUGACCCGCAACGGUAGGUCCCCCGGGACGAGCCCGAACACCCGUCGCGCGUGCCACGCUCCU
rfam:Saccharothrix sp. ALI-22-I Contig67, whole genome shotgun sequence.